rnacentral:rRNA from 1 species
UAACUGUGCAAAGGUAGCAUAAUCAAUAGUUUUUUAAUUGAAGGCUUGUAUGAAGGGUUGGACAAAGAAUAAUCUGUUUUUAUUUUUUUUUUUGAAUUUAACUUUUAAGUGAAAAGGCUUAAAUAAAUUUAAGGGACGAUAAGACCCUAUAAAUCUUUAUAUUAUUUUGUUUUUAAGUAAAUAAUAAAGUAAAUAGUUUAAUAAAACAAAAAAUAUUUUGUUGGGGUGAUGAAAAUAUAAUUUUUAACUGUUUUAAAAUUUAAACAAAGUUGUUUGGUAGAAAUAAUAAAUCCUUUAUAUAGAUAAAAAAUUUAAGUUACUUUGGGGAUAACAGCGUAAUUUUUUUUGAGAGUUCACAUCGAAAAAAAAGUUGGCGACCUCGAUGUUGAAUUAAAAGUUCUUUGUGGGGCAGGGGCCACAAAAAAAAGUCUGUUCGACUUUUAAAAUUUUACG